GGAGUGGGAGAGGUAGACGGUACUCGAGAGGAAGUGGUAAAAUGCUUUGAUCUUUCGAUGACCACCUGUGGCGAAGGCGGUCUACCAGAACACGUCCGACGGUGAGGGAUGAAAGCUGGGGGAGCAAACCGGAUUAGAUACCCGGGUAGUCCCAGCUGUAAACUAUGCAAACUCAGUGAUGCAUUGGCUUGUGGCCAAUGCAGUGUUGCAGGGAAGCCGUUAAGUUUGCCGCCUGGGAAGUACGUACGCAAGUAUGAAACUUAAAGGAAUUGGCGGGGGAGCACCACAAGGGGUGAAGCCUGCGGUUCAAUUGGAGUCAACGCCAGAAAUCUUACCCGGAGAGACAGCAGAAUGAAGGUCAAGCUGAAGACUUUACCAGACAAGCUGAGAGGUGGUGCAUGGCCGUCGCCAGCUCGUGCCGUGAGAUGUCCUGUUAAGUCAGGUAACGAGCGAGAUCCCUGCCUCUAGUUGCCACCAUUACUCUCAGGAGUAGUGGGGCGAAUUAGCGGGACCGCCGCAGUUAAUGCGGAGGAAGGAAGGGGCCACGGCAGGUCAGUAUGCCCCGAAACUCUGGGGCCACACGCGGGCUGCAAUGGUAAUGACAAUGUGUUCCGAAUCCGAAAGGAAGAGGUAAUCCUCAAACAUUACCACAGUUAUGACUGAGGGCUGCAACUCGCCCUCACGAAUAUGGAAUCCCUAGUAACUGCGUGUCAUUAUCGCGCGGUGAAUACGUCCCUGCUCCU
rnacentral:rRNA from 1 species